CAGGGAGACAACAAAAUGUUUUAAUAUUAUUAUUUUGUCACCUUAGGUCGAUCGGUAUCUCACGUUUUUAAUUUAUUAAGAAUUUCAUUUCCUAAGUUUUUCUAGGUCACACCCAUUACUUUUCCUGGGCCAUUAGCUCAGGUGGUUAGAGCGCACCCCUGAUAAGGGUGAGGUCCCUGGUUCAAGUCCAGGAUGGCCCAUAUCUCUAUGUUGGGGGUAUAGCUCAGUUGGUAGAGCGCCUGCUUUGCAAGCAGGAUGUCAGCGGUUCGAGUCCGCUUACCUCCACUGAUUACCACCUCUUCCAUAAUGUUUAGAAAGGAAAUGUUUUGAGUUGUGAUCAAAUCCUGAACGAAUCUAGCUUCCUAAUGAAAUCAUUAAGAUGCUGGACUCAUUGAAUUAAUUUCAUUGUUUUCAGAGAACCUUGACAACUGCAUAGAUUAUUUUUAAAGACAAUAAGCAUCAUUUAUGGUGCAGAUUUUUUAUUUGUGCGAAUGCAUUAAUAACAAUUCUAUUAAGCUGAUGCUUCAAUUUUGAAGUUAUU
rnacentral:tRNA from 2 species